GACGAACCGUGCGAACGUUAUUCGGAAUCACUGGGCUUAAAGCGCGUGUAGGCGGGGUGGCACGUCGGUCGCUGAAAGCCCCCGGCUCAACCGGGGAAGGGGCGCCGAUACGACCACCCUGGAGGGACGUAGGGGGACCUGGAACUUCCGGUGGAGCGGUGAAAUGCGUUGAGAUCGGAAGGAACGCCCGUGGCGAAAGCGAGGUCCUGGACGUUUACUGAUGCUGAGACGCGAAAGCCAGGGGAGCGAACAGG
rnacentral:rRNA from 1 species